GAGGGGCAGCGAGACACUUCGGUGUUGUCGGCGACCGGCGGGCGGGUGCGUAAUACGUAUGCAACCUACUUUACAUUGGAGCAUAGCCUUUGGAAACAGAGAUUAAUACUCCAUAUUAUCUUUUUAACGCAUGUUAAGAGGAUGAAAGCUCAGGCGAUGUAAAAUGGGCAUGCGUCCUAUUAGCUAGUUGGUGAGGUAAUGGCUCAUCCAAGGCUUUGAUGGGUAGGGGUUCUUAGUGGAAGGUCCCCCACACCGGCACUGAGAUACGGGCCAGACUCCUACGGGAGGCAGCAGUAAGGAAUAUUGGUCAAUGGGCGCAAGCCUGAACCAGCCAUGCCGCGUGAAGGAUGAAGGCUCUAUGAGUUGUAAACUGCUUUUGUACAGGAACAAAAAAGUCCCUGCGGGGAUUCUUGAGUGUACUGUAAGAAUAAGCACCGGCUAAUUCCGUGCCAGCAGCCGCGGUAAUACGGAAGGUGCAAGCGUUAUCCGGUUUUAUUGGGUUUAAAGGGUGCGUAGGCGGCUUAUUAAGUCAGUUGUGAAAUCCUAGUGCUUAACGCUAGAACUGCAAUUGAUACUGGUAGGCUUGAGUUAAGAAGAGGUAAGUAGAAUUUAUGGUGUAGUAGUGAAAUGCUUAGAUAUCAUAAGGAAUACCAAUAGCGUAGGCAGCUUACUGGUCUUAUACUGACGCUGAGGCAACGAAAGCGUGGGGAGCAAACAGGAUUAGAUACCCUGGUAGUCCACGCCGUAAACGAUGAUCACUCGAUAUACAUGUAACUCAUGUGUGUCCAAGCGAAAGCGUUAAGUGAUCCACCUGGGGAGUAUACUCGCAAGGGUGAAACUCAAAGGAAUUGACGGAUCACGAAUUCUGGAUCCGAUACGUAACGCGUCUGCAGCAUGCGUGGUACCGAGCU
rnacentral:rRNA from 1 species